UGGUGACGGUGCUGAAGC
rnacentral:misc_RNA from 1 species